AUCCGGCGUAGCCUCUGGGAAAAUACUCCGAGGUAAAUCAACAAGCCCUCUUGACAUUGAUAGAAUUUUUUCAGGAGCUGGCAAGGCAGAGGCAGCUGAACUGCUCAUAAAUUCCAUGUGGUGAUCUUCUGGAACAACAUUAUCUGCUCGAUCAGUUGAUUUGUCAGUAUCUUUCCGAAUGUCUUCAAGUGGAACAGGUUCUUUGACGAGACUUUCUUUUGAGAUUUGUUCUGAAUAACCUGAAGCAUGUAAUGCGCCCUCCUUAGAAGUUUCUGGCUGGUGGAAACCAGAAAAAUUAGAUGGUAGCUCGUUAUUAACAGCAUGCUCACAACUAGACUUCGAUGCAUCAAGUUGAGCAGAAGCAUUACAUCGACUCAGAAUAUGAACCUGGGCACCAGUGUCUUCAUCAAAAAUACUUUGUUCCAGACAAUCAGCAGUCUUUGGCGUUUCAAAGCAAGUUAUAUCUUGGGAUUCACCAGCAUCCAUGUUUUCUGGAAUUGCAAUGUUAUUUGAGACUGCCUUAGGUGAUCUCGGAUUACUCGGUGAAAUAUCUUCACGAACUGGCUGGCAGA
rnacentral:misc_RNA from 1 species